UGAAUAUACAGUAAAUUCUGCAUGUAAUUUUUAUCUCCUUCCAUCAAGUGUAACAAUAUGUUGAAUUUGCCAUGGGCCUUUAAAGCUUCAAUGUUGUGAAGAGCUCUGCAUGAAAUUUUAAAGAGACUGGACCUUUCAUCUGCACAACAGCAGGGCACCUCGCUAUAGGGACAAGAAAGGAAGAGAGAGAGAGAACAUUUCUGAAGUAAUAGUGAAAAAUAACAGCAGAAGCAAUUAUUUCAUCAAAGAUUGCAGGGAGAGGCUCCUCCGUGCUCCUGAGAGGCCGAACACAGGGUCGCCAGCACAGCUUACUGCUCGGUGUCUCCUGAGCCACAGAGGAAGACGUGGCAGGAGCACCUGGUGCUAAUAUAUAUUCAUGUCUAUGGCAAUGCCGACCAUCUGGCUGGUCUGAACCAGGAUAAAAGUGAAGAAUUCCUCUGUGAAGACCCAGCUCUUUCUUUGGCUCCUUUUUUGAAGCCAUCUUUGCUCUGCUCUCCUCUGCUGCCCAGGUAUGUGCAGUAUAAACAAGUUACACACAUAUCGCAUAAAUCCAUGCUUGUGAAAAAUCCAAAUAAUGCAUAAGCAUAUAAAAAUUAUUGUCUUCCUUUACUCUCCCAAUGGCCCUCAACCCGUCCUAUUUACUAAUCAUUAUUAAUAAUACAAAUACAUAAUUAGUAAAUUAGUAUUAUUUUGGUGUGUAUCAUUCUAGCCUUUUUCUAUGCAUUUAUAUACUUCUUUUAAAAAAUGGUAUUACACUAUGCACACUUUUUG
rnacentral:lncRNA from 10 species